GUCCCUGUUGCGCAAUGGAUAGCGCAUUGGACUUCUAAUCCAAAGGUCGUGGGUUCGAAUCCCACCUGGGAUG
rnacentral:tRNA from 1 species